GCGGGCGUAGCUCAAUGGUAGAGCGCUUGCUUCCCAAGCAAGAUACGCGGGUUCGAUUCCCGUCGCCCGCUCCA
rnacentral:tRNA from 32 species